rnacentral:lncRNA from 1 species
GGAAACAGGGCUGCUGUUUGCCAGAGAUCCCUGCUGCUGAGGCCAUGGAAACACUUUCAGAGCUGCAGAGACGUUACGCUGUGUUUACAAGGUGCAGCUGACUGUGGGGGACUUGGAGCUGACGGAGGUCUUUAGAUCCACGCUGCACCUCUGAACUGCAUGUGACAACCAGGCGGGUCAUGUGACUCAUCAGUGGUUUGUGUUGGACAUACGGACACAUGAAGUCCGUCCAGGUGUGUCUGAGAUUCUGAAGGACAAACCCCUC